CCAGCGCCCCCAUCGCCGGCUCCUGCCCCUGCUCCUGGUGACUGACCAGGAGCAUAUACACCCAAGGUGCAAUUACAACACAAAAUCAAAUAGGAAGCUACCUGCGAAAAGGAAUUUCUUGAGAAUGGGUGAUAAGGCGGAUUGGGGUGAUACUUUUUUAAGGCAUUUGAUUGAUGCUUGCAAAGAAGAGAUUGAAGCAGGGA